rnacentral:siRNA from 1 species
AAUCCCUUGUAAAUCAAUUUGC